rnacentral:rRNA from 1 species
GAGCAGAGGGUGCAAACGUUGUUUCGGAAUUACUGGGCGUAAAGCGCGUGUAGGCGGCCAACUAAGUCGGGCGUGAAAUCCCACGGCUCAACCGUGGAAGUGCACUCGAAACUGGAUGGCUAGAGUCCUGGAGAGGAAGGUGGAAUGCUUGGUGUAGAGGUGAAAUUCGUAGAUAUCAAGCGGAACACCGGUGGCGAAGGCGGCCUUCUGGACAGUGACGUGACGCUGAGACGGCGAAAAGCGUGGGGAGCAAACAGG